rnacentral:misc_RNA from 1 species
CCAAACUUGGUCAUUUAGAGGAAGUAAAAGUCGUAACAAGGUUUCCGUAGGUGAACCUGCGGAAGGAUCAUUAUCGAGUUUUGGGUACCUUCGGGUCCCUACUCCCACCCGAUGUUUAAUUGAACCGUUGCUUUGGCGGGCCGCUCCCGCCAGAGGAUCAUCUGAAGACCCUAGCUAGUCGUGAGAUCUGAGCACUUGGGAAUCGAAUAAAACUUUCAACAACGGAUCUCUUGGUUCUGGCAUCGAUGAAGAACGCAGC